UUUUGCGUUGCACACGUAGGCGUGAUCAAUGUUGGGGGCUUUAAUUUUUUUUCCCUCAGGGAGUCUUCACUUCUUUAACUUGACUUGUGGCUAAAACCACUUCAUCUUCAUAUAAACGAAAUCCUCCAUCCAUUUCCCUGAGAACAGUACUGGAAAGAUGAGCAGCCCUCCCAAAUCGACAACCAUACCUAACGUUGUAAAGGAGGAGGUCAUUGCAUCUGGGAAAUGGUUGAAACUUGAGAAGACCACCUAUGUGGACCCUGUUGGAAACACAAGAACUUGGGAGACUAUGAAAAGGACAACCAGACAGGCCAAUGCAGCAGAUGGUGUGGGAAUCAUCGCCCUUCUGAAGAGGACCCUCCACAAGGACUGCGUUGUCAUGGUGAAGCAGUUCCGUCCACCAAUAGGGUGCUGUACCCUAGAGUUCCCUGCAGGUCUGAUUGACGAGGGUGAGAGUGCAGAGAUUGCUGCUCUGCGAGAGCUGAAGGAGGAGACUGGUUACAAGGGGGAGGUGGUAGGAGUCACCCCAGUGACCUGCUUGGACCCUGGCCUCUCUAACUGCACCACACAGAUCGUCAUGGUUAACAUCAAUGGAGAUGACCUUGAAAACACCAACCCCACACAGCAACUGGGUACUUUACGGGUCACGCUCUUGGAAUGUUAUGAUUUUUUUUUUAAACGUAUUGUCAAGCUGAUAUGUAUUUUACAUGUUGUCCUAAAUGUGUACUUAUUUCUCUGCUUUCCUCCCUCUUUUACUCGUUUCCAGGUGAUGGAGGUAAAUAUUAUUUUCUUUAUAAUCACACUUUCAGUUAUUUUUCCACUAUUAGUAUAACAUUGAACCAAAUCGUAUUCUGGCUUCUAUUUUACUUCCAGAAUUUGUUGAAGUUCUUCUUUUACCUCUUGAUGAAUUCCAGAGGGAAAUUGAUGACCUGAUGAAGAAGGAGAAGAUUGUGGUGGACUCUAAGGUUUACAUCUACGGCAUGGGGAUGUCCCAGGCCUUCUUUAAACCCAAUGAACUCCGAGUGCUCAAACAGUGAGAGAAGGAUGGGAAGAGAAAGUAAAGUGGAGAGAGUAGACUAGAUGGAUGUGAAUAGAGGGAGAGGGAAUUAGGUUGCCGACUCGUUUGUUGUCGUCUCUCUGUUACACUACGAAUAUGGACGAAGCCAGGGAUGAAACUGUCAACAGGGUGGCCAUUUUAUGGCUUUAAGCUGUUGUCUUGGGGAUCAGUCAAUGAGAUUCAUAGAGUGUUACCCUACAGCUUGUAUUAUCCAAGACCAACCACUUUUAUGCACCUUUACCUGUGGGGAUAGUCCUAAUUAGAUACCAUACUUGUGAUUAAUGUGAUAUUACAUGCUGUCUGAUAAUACAAAUUCUUACACUGAUAGGAAUAUAAUUGCUAAAUGACAACUGAGUACAUACUGGUACAUUCCUAACUUUCACUAACUCAAAUGACUAAGCUUCACUGUAAAAUAACUUUUAAAAGGUACUGUUAUAAUAAUAUGCCUUGAAAGAUGUUACUCGCAACGGCAAUAGUUUGGUGCAUUUAUGUUUACAUCCAUUAGUUCACACCAAUGCAUAGUUGUAGAUGUCUUCUUACUGGUAUAAGGUUGACAUGCAGAUGAUCCUCACAUUUUAUUUAGCAAUUAUCAGUAAUUGAAUUAACUUGAUGUCAAUAAACAUG